GGGGGGCCGGACCCCGAAACUGCUUGCAGCUUUGGGCCUGCCCUGUCUGAUAUUCUACCCAUGUCUUUUGCGUACUUUUCGUUUCCUUGGUGGGCUUGCCUGCCAAUAGGACACCAAUUAACCUUUUUGUAAUUGCAACAGCGUCUGAAAAAACUUUAAUAGUUACAACUUUCAACAACGGAUCUCUUGGUUCUGGCAUCGAUGAAGAACGCAGCGAAAUGCGAUAAGUAGUGUGAAUUGCAGAAUUCAGUGAAUCAUCGAAUCUUUGAACGCACAUUGCGCCCCUUGGUAUUCCAUGGGGCAUGCCUGUUCGAGCGUCAUUUGUACCCUCAGCUCUGCUUGGUGUUGGGUGUUUG
rnacentral:misc_RNA from 1 species